UAUUUAAUGUUUAAAUUACUUCAUAUUUUUACAUAACCUGAAAAGAAAAUAUAUUUAUCCCACAUACAGUAAUAGUAAACAAGUGCAUUAUUUCAAACAUUAAAAAUAAAUCUUUUAACCAAGUCUGUACAACAGAUAAAUAGAGUUAUAUCUACAAUAGCUAUGUAGUAAAGAACAAAACAAAAAUUAUCCCUCAAGCUCACAGUUCCCUGUUGCUGAUAAUACUGGCAUAGAUGAAGGUUAUGCUUGCUAUCCCCCCCCAUGGUGUCCACCUACACCCUUUCCUUCAGUCACUCAAAUGUAUUGAUCGACGAGGUUAAAUUCCCAAGCAUUGGAAGCAAGAUGCACACAGAACAAACAGUGGAGUAUCUUUCCAGUAUCUUGAAAACAGCUGGCAGGCUUCGUAAAACUGCUGAAUUGGGGGAAAAGAAUGAUUUCUUUUUUGUUUUUUAUGAGGAAUGACUGGUUAUUCUUUAAAAGAAACUGUCCUCUGCCACACACACACAAAAAAAAUUGAAGUAAUUAUUUUCAUGAAUUUGUUUUGCAUUCAUUCAUGGCUGCAAGAUUGAAUUCAAUGUUUUACCUGGGAUAAGAACAAAAACAUGCAUGUGAUAGUAUAUAUGGUAAAAAGUAGGGUUCAUGUUGUUUAUAACCAUACAUAAUUGCACAUAUGCUUGGAAAAUAAUAUUGUGCUCAUGUUUUUGCCUGCUAACAAAUAACCAGAAGAAGAACAGAAUGAAAAAGCAACUAGAGGUCAAACUGUUACUUGAACCAAACCCACAACCAACCAAGAAAUGUCCUUAACUUUACUGAUAAGUAGAACGUAAACAACACCUUGUCACUGCCACACUGAAGGACUAUUUCUUUCAAUUAUAGUUUUUGCUAAAGGAAAAAAAUUAGUAAGAAAAUUGGACACUGCUAAAUAGGAUGAAAAAAGUUUUUUUCAAACAGCCCCAAUCUCAUUUCACUUGUAAUUCUGAGACUCAACCACCUGUAUGUGACAAAGUUGACCACUCAAUCCCUCCUCCUCAUGAUACCAACAGAUUAA